rnacentral:rRNA from 1 species
CCUACGGGAGGCAGCAGUGAGGAAUAUUGGUCAAUGGACGAGAGUCUGAACCAGCCAAGUAGCGUGAAGGAUGACUGCCCUAUGGGUUGUAAACUUCUUUUAUAUGGGAAUAAAAUGUUCCACGUGUGGGUUUUUGUAUGUACCAUAUGAAUAAGGAUCGGCUAACUCCGUGCCAGCAGCCGCGGUAAUACGGAGGAUCCGAGUGUUAUCCGGAUUUAUUGGGUUUAAAGGGAGCGUAGGUGGAUUGUUAAGUCAGUUGUGAAAGUUUGCGGCUCAACCGUAAAAUUGCAGUUGAAACUGGCAGUCUUGAGUACAGUAGAGGUAGGCGGAAUUCGUGGUGUAGCGGUGAAAUGCUUAGAUAUCACGAAGAACUCCGAUUGCGAAGGCAGCUCACUGGACUGCAACUGACACUGAGGCUCGAAAGUGUGGGUAUCAAACAGGAUUAGAUACCCCAGUAGUC